rnacentral:rRNA from 1 species
GACGAACGCUGGCGGCGUGCCUAAUACAUGCAAGUCGAACGCAGUGGGGACGGGUGAGUUACACGUGGGUAACCUCCCCUCAGAGGGGAUAACACUUGGAAACAGGUGCUAAACCGAUACCGAUGGAUGGACCCGAGGUGCAUUAGCUAGUUGGUGAGGUAACGGCUCACCAAGGCCACGAUGCAUAGCCGACCUGAUAGUGGGAUCGGCCACACUGGAACUGAGAAAAGGCCCAGAAGCCUGCGAUGGUCGGCAGUAGAGAAGCUGCCGCAAUGGACGAAGAUCUGACCGGGCAACGCCGCGUGGGUUAAGAAGGUAUUCGGAUCGUAAAACUCUAAUGUUAGGGAAGCGGUAUCUUACCAGAAAGCCACGGCUAGCUACGUGCCAGCAGCCGCGGUAAUUC